UACGUAGGGGGCUAGCGUUGUCCGGAUUUAUUGGGCGUAAAGAGCGUAUAGGCGGCCAGGUAGGUCCGCUGUGAAAACUCGAGGCUCAACCUCGAGACGUCGGUGGAAACCAUCUGGCUAGAGUCCGGAAGAGGAGAGUGGAAUUCCCGGUGUAGCGGUGAAAUGCGCAGAUAUCGGGAAGAACACCCGUGGCGAAAGCGGCUCUCUGGGACGGUACUGACGCUGAGACGCGAAAGCGUGGGGAGCGAACAGG
rnacentral:rRNA from 1 species